rnacentral:sRNA from 1 species
GCCAGGCACGGUGGCACAUGCCUGUAAUCCCAGCAGCUCGGGAGGCUGAGGCAGGAGGAUCACAAGUUCUAAGACAGCGUCAGCAACUUAUCAAGGCUCUAAGCAACUCAGAGAGACCCUGUCUCUA